GAUCAAGAAGAAAAGAGCACAGGGUGAAUGCCUUGGCAAUCAGAGCCGAUGAAGGACGCGACAAGCUGCGAAAAGCUGCGGGAAGGUGCACAUAACCGUUGAUCCGCAGAUAUCCGAAUGGGGAAACCCGGCUGGUAGAAGACCAGUCACUGUAACGUGAAUACAUAGCGUUAUGGAGGGAACCUGGGGAACUGAAACAUCUUAGUACCCGGAGGAAAAGAAAGAAACAUCGAUUCCUUGAGUAGCGGCGAGCGAAAGAGGAAGAGCCCGGAUUACAACAAAUUUACUUUAUUAGCUGAACGGCAUGGGAAGGCCGGACGCAGAGGGUGAGAUCCCCGUAAGUGAAAAUAGAGUGAGUGGGUAAUCGACGAGUACCACGGGACACGUGAAACCCUGUGGGAAGAUGGGGGGCCCACCCCCCAAGGCUAAAUACUACUGAUUGACCGAUAGCGGAAAGUACCGUGAGGGAAAGGUGAAAAGAACCCCGGAAGGGGAGUGAAAUAGAAACUGAAACCCUGUGCUUACAAGCAGCCGGAGCGCAAGUGACGGUGUGCUUUUUGUAGAACGGGCCAACGAGUUACGGUAUGUAGCAAGGUUAAGUACUUCAGGUACGGAGCCGCAGGGAAACCGAGUCUGAACAGGGCGAAUAGUUGCAUGCUGUAGACCCGAAACCGUGUGAUCUAUCCAUGACCAGGAUGAAGCUUGGGUAAAACCAAGUGGAGGUCCGAACCAGUGUCUGUUGAAAAAGGCUUGGAUGAGUUGUGGAUAGGGGUGAAAUUCCAAUCGAACACGGAGAUAGCUGGUUCUCCCCGAAAUAGCUUUAGGGCUAGCGUUGUAGUAAAGAGUGAUGGAGGUAGAGCACUGAAUCGGCUAGGGGGCGUAAAGCUUACUGAACCGUAUCAAACUCCGAAUGCCAUCCACUUAUAUACAGCAGUCAGACUGUGUGAGAUAAGUCUCAUAGUCGAAAGGGAAACAGCCCAGACCAUCCGCUAAGGUCCCCAAGUCCAGAUUAAGUGGGAAAGGAUGUGCAACUGCACAAACAACCAGGAUGUUGGCUUAGAAGCAGCCACACAUUUAAAGAGUGCGUAAUAGCUCACUGGUCGAGUGGUUGUGCGCCGAAGAUGAACGGGGCUAAAAUCUGGCACCGAAGCGAUGGAUUAUGGUACUACCAUAGUGGUAGGGGAGCAAUGUCCCAGGGGCGAAGCUUAAUCGUAAGGUUAGGUGGACUGGGGACAAGAGAGAAUGUUGGCAUGAGUAGCGAAAGUGAAGUGAGAAUCUUCACCAUCGAAAGCCCAAGGUUUCCUGAGGAAGGUUCGUCCGCUCAGGGUAAGUCGGGGCCUAAGCCGAGGCGAGCAGCGUAGGCGAUGGACAACAGGUUGAAAUUCCUGUACCACCUUUAAUUGUUUGAGAGAUGGAGUGACACAGAAGGAUAAGCGAACCCAGCGGUUGGAAAAGCUGGGCCAAGCGUCAAGGCUGAUCAGGGAGGCAAAUCCCCUUGAUCUUAAGGCCAAGGCGUGACGGGGAACGAAAAAUAAGUAGGGAAGUCGCUGAUUUCACGCUGUCAAGAAAAGCUUCUAUUGAGAGAGAAGGUGCCCGUACCGUAAACCGACACAGGUAGGCGAGGAGAGAAUCCUAAGAUGAGCGGGAGAAGUGUUGUUAAGGAACUCGGCAAAAUGACUCCGUAACUUCGGGAGAAGGAGUGCCCCUUAAGGGGGGCCGCAGAGAAGAGGCUCAAGCGACUGUUUAGCAAAAACAUAGGUCUCUGCUAAAUCGAAAGAUGAUGUAUAGGGGCUGACGCCUGCCCGGUGCUGGAAGGUUAAGAGGAGUGCUUAGCGCAAGCGAAGGUGCGAAUUUAAGCCCCAGUAAACGGCGGCCGUAACUAUAACGGUCCUAAGGUAGCGAAAUUCCUUGUCAGGUAAGUUCUGACCCGCACGAAAGGCGUAACGAUUUGAGCGCUGUCUCGACAACACACCCGGUGAAAUUGUAGUACUCGUGAAGAUGCGAGUUACCCGCGACAGGACGGAAAGACCCCGUAGAGCUUUACUGCAAUCUGGCAUUGAGUUUUGGUAGUACACGUACAGGAUAGGUGGGAGGCAAAGAAUUUGGGACGC
rnacentral:rRNA from 1 species